rnacentral:rRNA from 1 species
AUUGAACGCUGGCGGCAUGCUUUACACACGCAAGUCGAACGGUAACAGGGUGCUUGCACCGCUGACGAGUGGCGAACGGGUGAGUAAUACAUCGGAAUGUACCCAGUAAUGGGGGAUAACGCUUCGAAAGGAGUGCUAAUACCGCAUACGCCCUGAGGGGGAAAGUGGGGGACCGCAAGGCCUCACGUGAUUGGAGCAGCCGAUGGCUGAUUAGCUAGUUGGUGAGGUAAAGGCUCACAAGGCGACGAUCAGUAGCGGGUCUUAGAGGACGAUCCGCCACACUGGAACUGAGACACGGUCCAGACUCCUACGGGAGGCAGCAGUGGGGAAUCUUGGACAAUGGGCGAAAGCCUGAUCCAGCAAUGCCGCGUGCGUGAAGAAGGCCUUCGGGUUGUAAAGCGCUUUUGUCUGGGAGCAAAUCCUGGCCUCUAAUACAGGUCGGGGAUGAGAGUACCAGAAGAAUAAGGACCGGCUAACUACGUGCCAGCCGCGCCGUAACAC